rnacentral:rRNA from 1 species
AACCUUACCAGGGCUUGACAUCCAGUGCAAAGCUAUAGAGAUAUAGUGGAGGUUAACAUUGAGACAGGUGGUGCAUGGUUGUCGUCAGUUCGUGCCGUGAGGUGUUGGGUUAAGUCCCGCAACGAACGCAACCCUUGUCGUUAGUUACUAACAUUAAGUUGAGGACUCUAACGAGACUGCUAGUGUAAGCUAGAGGAAGGUGGGGAUGACGUCAAAUCAUCAUGCCCCUUAUGUCCUGGGCUACACACGUGCUACAAUGGCUGGUACAAAGAGUCGCAAUCUCGCGAGGGGGAGCUAAUCUCAAAAAGCCAGUCUCAGUUCGGAUUGAAGUCUGCAACUCGACUUCAUGAAGCCGGAAUCACUAGUAAUCGCGAAUCAGCUAUGUCGCGGUGAAUACGUUCUCGGGUCUUGUACACACCGCCCGACACACCACGAGAGUUGGUAAUACCAGAAGUGGG